AGAACUUUUCAGACUUUUGGCUAAAAUCAAAUAUAGUAUCUCUUCUUAUCAGUUUAAUAUUAAUGCCAUAAAUAUGUACAAAUAUGUCUUAUACAUCAUUUAUCUGAGGACAAUAUAUUAAAUGGAAUUUUGGAGCAGGGAGUUGGAAUAGGAGCUUGCUUCAUUGUCUCUACAACCGGUCUGGUAUUGUAGUACCUUGAGGAACGGUGUACCCCUU
rnacentral:snRNA from 1 species